rnacentral:rRNA from 1 species
GGGGAAUUUUCCGCAAUGGGCGAAAGCCUGACGGAGCAAGACCGCGUGGGGGAUGAAGGUUUGUGGAUUGUAAACCCCUUUUGAUUGGGAAGAAUACUGACGGUACCAAUCGAAUAAGCCUCGGCUAACUCCGUGCCAGCAGCCGCGGUAAUACGGAGGAGGCAAGCGUUAUCCGGAAUUAUUGGGCGUAAAGCGUCCGUAGGUGGUUUAGUAAGUCUGCUGUUAAAGCGCGGGGCUUAACUCCGUAUCGGCAGUGGAAACUACUAGACUAGAGUGUGGUAGGGGUAGAGGGAAUUCCCAGUGUAGCGGUGAAAUGCGUAGAUAUUGGGAAGAACACCGGUGGCGAAAGCGCUCUACUGGGCCAUAACUGACACUGAUGGACAAAAGCUAGGGGAGCGAAAGGGAUUANAUACCCCUGUAGUC